CGCGGGGUAGAGCAGUCCGGCAGCUCGUUGGGCUCAUAACCCAAAGGUCACUGGUUCAAAUCCAGUCCCCGCCACCA
rnacentral:tRNA from 1 species